GUAACGGUUCGUUACACGAAGAGUAACAAAAUAAAGUAAAAGUUAACAAAAAAAUAAAAUUUUAAUUAUAACUAAAAACUAAUUAAAAAUAUACUUACUUACUAAAACCUUAAUGACAAAAAUAAAAUAAAUAUAAACAAAAACUUAUACGUAAACUCGGGCGCAAAUGACGUUUUAAAUAUCUGUGAGCGCGAACGAUGAGUGAACGAAGUGGAAACAGGUUCGCCCCGGUUUAGAAUAAACCGUCGAAACAUCGCGGCGGAGUCCGAGCGAAGUUAUCAUAACGCAAGGACGUACGGCUUUUGUACUAAAACUGCCAAGUCACGACGAGCUACGAGUCGUUAAAUUCACUUUUUAACAAUUUCUACAAAUCUAAGUUGUGUUGUGUUACCCCAAUAUCGGGGUCCCCGUUCCGGGUUUCAAACACUUCUCUCCGUGGAAGUUUGGGGCAAGAUUGCUGCCUUGGACAAUCAAGCCUGGUGGACCUGGGCUGCCAUCGAGAACAGUUUUACGCCUACCGGAAAUCGGAAGAUCAGUACCGUGGCCUUGAUUAUUUCUGGGACUUUGUGUCGCUCGGUUGCCAAUUAUUAACCCACUACCUGAACCUUCGUAAAUUACAUUUAAUAAACCUUUUGUUGUACAUGUUUAGUUUUUUAUUGUUUAAUUUCCUUUUUGUUACUACCCUUCUACUAGGGUAUGUUACAUUGGCGCCUGACAACGGGUAUAAUUGCAACCGAAACGAUACUUGUCUUGUAAGCAUUUGAUAGUUUUUAUUGGUGUUGGCUCUAAACCAUAGACUUUAAGACUGAUUAUGCUAAUUUCUACUUACAAAAUACCUACCAAAUAGACUAAAUGUUAUAUUGUUAUGUUGUAUACUCUUGAAUACUAAUUAACCCAAUAUUUAAAAACAAGCUAUAACAGAUUGCAGUGUUACCACAUAGUGGUAGGUAUUUUGUAUCUGCUUUUAAAUCAUUGUUGUAGUUGGUAAUUUUACUUUCGUUGCAACACACUCUCGAUAUAAUCACAAUGUCGUACGCUAUAAAAUUUUUGUCCUUACAAAAAGCUGAAUUAGAAUACGAAGUGGAGCUUCGUGGUGGCUCUGGGGAUUCGGUUCUUGAAUUAAGGAAACAAAUCACAAAAUUAUCACAACUUAAUACUUCCGAAGACAUAACCGAAUCUUAUUUAGAACCAAGCGAGGAUUUAAAAUGCGUCAAAGAAUCCCUCCUCAAAGCACAUACUCUUCUCUCAGGUUUGAAAUCAAAAUUUGAUAAAAACGCUUACACCAGAACUGAGUCAUUGCUACAUCACCUCUAUCAUCGGAUCAAUAGAAUCACUAAUAACCCAGAAGUUACCGACGUUUAUAAAGUCUGUGUUUCUAACUUUAACGCUUACUAUAAGGAACUUAUUGCCUUGAGACCCCAGAGCUCACAAACACAAGCCCCUUCCACAUCUUCUAUUGAAGCAGUUAUUGAACCAACUACCAUAUCUAUCUCAUGUAGCGAACGCAGUUUGUCGGCAGACAUAAGCAAGCUUAAAUACACGGGAAAAACUUGUGUCCACUCAUUCAUUUUAAAAGUCGAGGAGUUCGUUGAAUCCCGUGGUAUAUCUUUUGAUAAAAUACUCUCGUUGGCUUAUGAGAUAUUUUCUGGCGAUGCAUUGCAUUGGUAUCGUUACAACAAGUAUAAAAUUAAAUCUUGGGAAGAUUUAGUUAACUUGCUUAAACAAGAUUUCAGUAGUAGCGAUUAUGACUAUAGGCUUGCCGCAGAAAUUCGUUCUCGUACCCAAGGUGAACGAGAGAAUAUCACAAUCUAUAUAUCUAUCAUGCACGGAUUGUUUUCACGUUUAAGCAAACCAUUUUCGGAAUCAGAGAAAUUAGAAAUAUUACUUCAUAAUAUCCGUCCAUGCUAUGCAAGUACACUAGCGGCCACUCAAAACAUCGAAAGUAUCGAUUCCCUGGUGGCAACUUGUCGUAAUUAUGAGAACGUUCAAUCCAGAUUUUCUCAAUUUCAUGAGCCACCUAGAGUAUCGAACAGCACCAUUGCCCCUGAGUUUGCUUACAAACACAACUACUACGAAAAUAAUUAUCAAAAAACAGAACCUAAAAAUCAAGAUAAAACACAAAAACCUUAUUACUAUCAUACUAACAACUCUAAUAAACAAAAUUUUACUCCUUCAUCUUAUCAAAAACAAUCUACAAAUUCUAAACAACAAAAGAACGAGACCGUUAAUGUUGUCAGUACUGGCCCCAUAUAUUGUCCAAGAUGUCGCUCUCAUGAACAUUCCCUUGGUGCUUGUAAAGUGGAUCGUACCAUAGUUUGUUUUAAGUGUGGUGAGAAAGACGUCCGCUAUCCGGAUUGUCCUAAAUGCAACCCAGUUAAUGACGAGAAUCAAAAAAACUAAUAAGUGUGGAUUGCAAAGAUAGUGUUCGUACAAACACUUAUUCUCAUGUAAAUUUUAAUAAGUCAGAUUGGCAGCAGUGGUUGAACUUUGUCACUUCAUUUACUACUUAUAACGCUGUCUCUUCAAUCCACGUUAAUCGCGUCAACGUUUCCAGACCCUAUGUGUCUGUCGUCAUUAAUAAUAAAAAUAUUAUCGGCCUCCUUGAUACUGGGUCGUCCACUACAAUAUUGGGUAACGGCUGCCAUGAAUAUUUAUUGCAAGCUGGCUAUGAUCUACAAAAAACCGAUACUGCUCAAUUCAUGGCAGCAGGUGGGGAAAAAUUAGACUCUAAAGGAAUCAUAUAUGUCCCAAUUACUUUUUAUGAUAAAACACACGUGCUAAAAGCCUACGUAGUACCUAAUAUUAAACAUUCGCUAAUACUAGGAAUGGACUUUUGGAGAUUAUUUGGCCUUUUUCCUAAACAUCUCGAUAGCAUUGUCUACUUUAAGGAUUCUGAUGAGGUUUUUACUUCAGAAAUUGAAGCAAACCCACCUAAUAUACACUCCUAUGAGCACUUAUCACAGGAACAAAAAAUUACUGCUGAUCGUAUAAUAUCAUUGUUCCGUGAAGUGUCAUACGAGGAACGUGGUCUUGGUCGAACUAAUUUGAUACAACAUGCAAUUGACACUGGGGAUGCUGCCCCCAUUCGUCAACGCUACUAUAGAAUGUCCCCUGAGAAGCAACGCGUUUUAGUUGAGCAACUCGACGAAAUGAUCAAGGAAGAUGUGGUAGAACCAUGUGAGAGUCCUUGGUCAUCUCCUGUUCUUCUAACGCCAAAGAAAAACGGGGAAUUACGCUUUUGUCUUGACAGCAGAAAGCUUAACGCUGUCACCAAAAAAGAUGCAUAUAGUCUACCCUAUAUUGCUGAAAUACUGGACAACCUACGUGAUGCCAAGUAUUUGUCUAGUAUAGAUCUCUCCAAAAGUUUUUGGCAGAUCCUGAUAAAGGAAGAGGACAGACAAAAGACGGCCUUCUACAUUCCGUCGCGUGGCACCUUUCAAUUCAAGGCUAUGGCUUUUGGCUUAACAAAUGCACCUGCAACGCAACAAAGGCUAGUAGAUACCUUGUUCUACGGACCAGAGUUUGAACACAGAGUUUUUGUGUUCAUUGACGACGUGAUAAUUGUUUCAGACGACUUUGACCAACACAUUUCCCUGAUGAUGCGUGUUCUCGAAAAACUUAAAAUGGCUAAUCUGACAAUAAAUUUUAAGAAAAGUCAGUUUUUCAGGAAGCAAUUGAAAUACUUAGGGUAUGUGGUGGAUUCAAACGGACUUCAUGCUGAUCCAGAAAAAGUGGAAUCUAUUGUUAAUUAUCCGAUUCCAACUAACCGCAAGGAAGUUCGAAUGUUUUUGGGUACUGCAUCUUGGUACCGGAAAUUCAUUCCAAACUUUAGUACGCUAGCUAGUCCCUUAAAUAAAUUAACCAGCCAAGGUAAGAACGCUCCACCUUUUGUAUGGUCCGAAGAAGCAAAUAGCGCUUUUUUAAAAUUAAAAAAAUGUCUCGUGUCCACGCCAAUUCUUUCUUGUCCCGAUUAUGCUAAGCCUUUUGAAGUGCAUACCGACGCAAGUGAUUAUGGUAUGGGAGCAAUACUAACCCAAACUGUCGAUGGCACUGAAAGGGUCAUAGCAUAUAUGAGUAAAUCAUUUUCAAAACCAGAACGCAACUAUAGCACCACCGAACGCGAAGCGUUAGCUGUGCUAACAGCUAUUGAGCACUGGCGUUGCUAUCUGGAAAACGGACAAAUGUUUACCGUAUAUACGGAUCAUUCUUCCCUAAAAUGGUUUCUCAACCUCAAUAAUCCAACAGGAAGAUUAGCCAGGUGGGGAGUAAGACUCUCCGCCUACAAUUUUACCAUUAAACACCGUAAAGGUACUGAGAACGUGGUACCAGAUAGUUUGUCUCGCGCUGUCCCAAUAUCCGCUAUUGAUACUUCGGCAGACUCGCUGACUCAGAAAACCAAAGAUGACUGGUUUUUAAAUAUUGUUGAAGGAUGUAUUAAAUCACCAACAUCAUUUCCCAACUACCGAUUUCAAAACGGAAAACUUUUCAGAUUCAUUAAAUCUGUUAACCCCUUAACCAGGGAGUUUGAGUGGAAGGAGGUAGUUCCAUUGGAGUUACGACGGAAAAUAAUAUUUGAAAAUCAUUCUGAACCCACGUCAGGCCAUUUCGGAAUUUUUAAAACACAUAAACGUGUUAGUUUAACUUAUUUUUGGCCAAACAUGCACAAUGAUGUAGUCGAAUUUGUAUCCAGUUGCGAUACCUGCCUUUCGCAUAAGCACCCUAAUCACUCAACUCUGGGUACAAUGGGGAGGCCUAAAGAUUGCAGUAGGCCAUUCCAAAUGUUGAGCGUAGAUCUUGUUGGGCCCUUGCCCGUAUCUAGAAAGCAAAAUACCUUCUUGCUGGUUAUAACGUGUUGCUUUUCUAAAUAUUGCCUUCUAUUUCCCAUUCGUCGAGCAACUUCUGAUAUUAUUUCAAAGAUAAUUGAAGAUAAAGUAUUUCUCAUUCACGGGGUACCUAGCACUAUUUUAAUGGAUAACGGACGUCAAUUUACCAGCCUCACGAUGAAGAAAUUAUUUGAAAAUUAUAAUAUCCCAAAUGUUUUUUAUACCCCUUUAUACACCCCACAAAUAAACACAGUAGAACGUUAUAAUAAGACUAUAAUGACGGCAGUUUCUACAUUUAUUGACGGCGACCAUAGGGUUUGGGACUCUAACAUUUCCAAGAUUCAAUUUGCGUUAAACAGCGCCGUAAAUGAGGUGACAGGGUUUACACCAUCAUUUUUGGUCUACGGGCGCGAGCUUGUUAGCUGCGGUUCACAUUACGUGGACUCGGACCUGGAAAACCAAAUAAUUUUCUCUCCACGCGAUGCCUACGCUGAAAACCUUGGUGUGUUGCAUAAAUUAUUUGACAAAGUACAACUGUCAUUAAUUAAAGCACACUCAAGAAAUAGUACUAACUAUAACCUUCGCCGUAGGAACGUGGACUUCAACGUGGGUGAUAUCGUUUGGAAAAGGACCUUUUACCAAAGCGACAAAGACAAUAAAUUCUCUAAAAAGUUAGCCCCUAAAUUCUUAAAAUGUCGUAUUGUUACAAAAAAAUCGAAAUUAGUAUACGAACUUGAAGACAUGGCAGGACGCAAUUUAGGUACCUGGCAUGUAAAAGAUUUUAAACUAACCUAGAAAUCAGAUUGCUUUAGGAUUAAUGGAUUUUUUUAGAAAAAUCCUAACCUAAAAAGGGGGGUAUGUAACGGUUCGUUACACGAAGAGUAACAAAAUAAAGUAAAAGUUAACAAAAAAAUAAAAUUUUAAUUAUAACUAAAAACUAAUUAAAAAUAUACUUACUUACUAAAACCUUAAUGACAAAAAUAAAAUAAAUAUAAACAAAAACUUAUACGUAAACUCGGGCGCAAAUGACGUUUUAAAUAUCUGUGAGCGCGAACGAUGAGUGAACGAAGUGGAAACAGGUUCGCCCCGGUUUAGAAUAAACCGUCGAAACAUCGCGGCGGAGUCCGAGCGAAGUUAUCAUAACGCAAGGACGUACGGCUUUUGUACUAAAACUGCCAAGUCACGACGAGCUACGAGUCGUUAAAUUCACUUUUUAACAAUUUCUACAAAUCUAAGUUGUGUUGUGUUACCCCAAUAUCGGGUGAGUGUUGUAAAUGAUUUUUAAUUUUAGUGCUUAGCUAGUGCUUAGUAGUAAGUACCUAUCUACUGUUAUUUAAAAAAAAAAUGUAUUUAGUGCUUGCAUGUGUAGCGCUUAAGUGUUUAUCUUUUAAUUAUUAGUACGUGAGCGUGGUUAAUACUACGUCAAAACAAAUUAAAUUCGCCACGUACAUAAAACGUAAUACACACAUGACCUUGUAUGACCCCUACGGUAAUUGACAGUCAUCCUAAUUUUAUUACGUUUCCUUUACUUUUAUUUUCCAUACAACAAAUUAAUGUGUUAAGCAAUUCAUAUUGCAUUAGAUAUUGUUUUAUAAAUAUGGAACUCAUUUUAUAAAUAAUGGAUAAUUAUUUACCGAUGCUUUGGAGUUAAUCUUCAUUAAUCGUGUUUUUAGUGCUUAAAUCUAGAUUAAGAAUGAUUCUUGUGACUGCCUCAUCAGUAUUAACUAUUUUUUGCAAUAAUCAUUUCAUCUGAUCCGCUUCUCGCCGCUUCCGGUCUGAUGUCGCAGUCAUAAGUACGAAAUCGGACUUUGCUAAAAUUGUCCGUAUCGGAAUUCCAGGGUCCCCGUUCCGGGUUUCAAACACUUCUCUCCGUGGAAGUUUGGGGCAAGAUUGCUGCCUUGGACAAUCAAGCCUGGUGGACCUGGGCUGCCAUCGAGAACAGUUUUACGCCUACCGGAAAUCGGAAGAUCAGUACCGUGGCCUUGAUUAUUUCUGGGACUUUGUGUCGCUCGGUUGCCAAUUAUUAACCCACUACCUGAACCUUCGUAAAUUACAUUUAAUAAACCUUUUGUUGUA